rnacentral:rRNA from 1 species
AGAACGAACGCUGGCGGCAUGCCUAAUACAUGCAAGUCGAACGAACACUUCGGUGUUAGUGGCGCACGGGUGCGUAACGCGUGGGAAUCUGCCCUUGGGUUCGGAAUAACAGUUGGAAACGACUGCUAAUACCGGAUGAUAUCGAAAGAUCAAAGAUUUAUCGCCCAGGGAUGAGCCCGCGUAGGAUUAGCUAGUUGGUGAGGUAAAGGCUCACCAAGGCGACGAUCCUUAGCUGGUCUGAGAGGAUGAUCAGCCACACUGGGACUGAGACACGGCCCAGACUCCUACGGGAGGCAGCAGUAGGGAAUAUUGGACAAUGGGCGCAAGCCUGAUCCAGCAAUGCCGCGUGAGUGAUGAAGGCCUUAGGGUUGUAAAGCUCUUUACCCGAGAUGAUAAUGACAGUAUCGGAGAAUAAGCCCCGGCUAACUCCGUGCCAGCAGCCGCGGU